rnacentral:rRNA from 1 species
AUGGACUUCGCCAAGGAAGUUGUCGUUCAGGCGGCGCUGUCCGAGAUCCUUGGCCGCAUCUUCUCCUCCCUGCUAGACGGCCUCCGCCUGCCGACCGACGGUGGCGCCAGGGACGCGCACCGCCGGCGGCUGGAGCGGCUGCUCGGCAGCAUCGGCAGCAUGGUCGAGGAGGCGGAGGGCCGGCACAUCAACAACCACCAGCUGCUCGGCCACCUCAAGGUCCUCACCGAGGGCAUGUACCGCGCCCGCUUCGCCCUCGAGGCGGCCGACCUCGACGACGCCCAUGACGCCGACGCCACGGACGACGACGGCGAUCGGCGCCGCCCGCUCGCGCUGCUCUCCCCGUUCAACAGGACGAAGCGUUCCCGCAUCACGAGCCUGAUCUGGGGAGCUGGCGCUGGCGCUGGCGCCGGGGACCACGACGGUGGGUCGAUGAAGAGGUUGGCGGCCGCCAGCGAAGAGCUGGAGGAGCUGACGCGCGACUGCACGAGGGAGUUCGUGCUGCUCGUCCAGGGGUACCCCCGCAAAGUGCACCGGGCGGUGCGGACGACGCUGUACAUGGACCGCUGCGUGUUCGGGCGGCACGUCGAGACGGAGCGCAUCGUCGACUUCCUCCUGCAGCAGCAUGGCGGAUACCUGAGCGCGCUCGCCGUCGUCGGCGCCAAGAAGGUCGGGAAGACCACGGUCGUCAAGCACGCCUGUGACGACGAGCGCGUGCGGGGCCACUUUGCGCGCGUCGAGUGGUUCGAGACGCCAGAAGUCGUGAAGGCGGGAGGCCAGGCGGGGCAGACCGCGUGGGAGAGCGACGGGCCGGAGUACCUCGCGGGCGUGCGCCGCAUCAUCGGCGAGCCGCGGGAAGGCCGAUCGCUCCUCGUGUUUGACGACGCCUGGCCGGUCGACGCGUCGGCCUGGCGCGAGCUCGCGUCGUCGACCACCACGGGCGCGGGCGACUGCAAACUCAUCUUCACGUGCCGCGACGCCGACCUCGCCCGGGACAUGAGCACGGCGGCGGAGCCGGUGGUGCUGGGCAAGGCCCCGAUGGAGGAGUACUGGUACUACUUCAAGGCUUUCGCGUUCGGCGGCGGUGCGGAUCCCAGGGACAACCCGCGGGCCGCGGCGGUCGGCCGGCAGAUCUGCGAGCGGCUCGACCGCACGUACCUCGACGCCAGGGUGCUGGGUGGGCUGCUCGGGGCCAACCUCGGCGACACCCCGUUCUGGCGCCGCAUGCUGGCGGCCCUCGCGCGGUGCGAGCGGCGGCCGCUGCACGUCGGCGUCCUGCUCGAGCUCCUGCCCGUGAACGGUAGGCGACUGCAGUCGUACGGCUACUGCCGGAGCCCGCCGAAUGUCACCGUGCAGGACGUGCUCGGCGGGAGGACCAGCGGCGGCUCCGAUGAGGAUGGCUCGAUGACCGUCCAUCUCUGCAGGGAGACGCUGUACAUGGAUCACUGGUACAGCAUCACUUUCAAGUACUAG